AGCUAAUACCGGAUAAUAUAUUGAACCGCAUGGUUCAAUAGUGAAAGACGGUUUUACUUGUCACUUAUAGAUGGAUCCGCGCCGCAUUAGCUAGUUGGUAAGGUAACGGCUUACCAAGGCAACGAUGCGUAGCCGACCUGAGAGGGUGAUCGGCCACACUGGAACUGAGACACGGUCCAGACUCCUACGGGAGGCAGCAGCC
rnacentral:rRNA from 1 species